rnacentral:rRNA from 1 species
AGGACGAACGCUGGCGGCGUGCUUAACACAUGCAAGUCGAACGAGGUGCUUCGGCACUUAGUGGCGAACGGGUGAGUAACACGUGAGCAACCUGCCCUUGGCUCUGGGAUAGCCUCCGGAAACGGGGAUUAAUACCGGACAUGACCUUCCCCGGCAUCGGGGUUGGUGGAAAGUUUUUCGGCCAGGGAGGGGCUCGCGGCCUAUCAGCUUGUGGGGGGUAACGCCCACCAAGGCGACGACGGGUAGCC